rnacentral:tRNA from 1 species
GCGUCUAUCGUUCAACGGAUAGGACUGCAGUCUUCGGAACUGCUAAUGGGGGUUCGAUUCCCUCUAGGCGCA